rnacentral:tRNA from 1 species
GCUGCCGUAGUUUAAUGGAUAGAAUUGGGGUUUCCUAAACUCUCGAUGCAGGUUCGACUCCUGCCGGUGGCA